rnacentral:misc_RNA from 1 species
GUAAUGGGAAAUAUGUUCUGCACGGAGUUAAGAAUUCAUCGGAGAUUUGAUUUGAAGGGUUCGUCUCUCGGACGUUCUGCAGAUAAGGUUGAAAUAGAUGAAAACACUAUACUCAAGGAUUUAGAUUUGAACUACUCGUUUUAUCUGGAACCUACUUGGCGAGAGGCUUUAAUAAAGCAGAUCGAGAUUGACAGUAAAUUCCUAGAAGUGCAGAACAUCAUGGACUAUAGCCUUUUGUUGGGUGUGCAUUAUCGUGCCCCACAGCAGCUGCAAUCCCAUAUUUCCUACAGUCGAAGCAUGAGGGCUGAUGGAUUGGGAAUUCUUGCAGAGGAUGAUACUUUUGAGGAAGACAUAUCGACCUACCCACAAGGCCUUGUCUUAGUUCCUCGCACAGAUGAUAACAGUGUUGUUGUUGGCCCCCACAUCAGAGGCAGCCGUUUGCGAGCAUCAUCUGCUGCUGGGGAUGAGGAAGUGGAUCUUUUGUUGCCUGGUACUGCAAGACUCCAAAUCCAACUAGGAGUGAACAUGCCAGCGAGAGCAGAGCAAAUUCCAGGAAAAGAAGAAAAGCAGAUGUUUCACGAGGCUUAUGAUGUCGUUCUAUAUCUGGGUAUCAUCGACAUUCUACAAGAAUACAACAUGAGCAAGAAGAUCGAACAUGCAUACAAAUCCAUUCAAUUUGAUUCAUUGUCCAUCUCUGCUGUGGAUCCUACAUUCUAUUCCCAACGUUUUCUUGAGUUCAUUAUUCAGAAAGUGUUCCCUCAAAAUGCUCUUGCAAGCUGAGAAAUCUGACUCCCAUAUGCAUAUAUCCUUACAAUUCAUUUUCUCCUCCGGAAGAUUUCCUGAUGAAACAGAUGCAAUUAUACAAAGAUUGAAGAUCGGAGAGCCUUUCGUUUUUGAAUUUAUG